UACGGAGGAUGCAAGCGUUAUCCGGAAUUAUUGGGCGUAAAGCGUCCGCAGGUGGCUAUGUAAGUCUGCUGUUAAAGUGUGAGGCUCAACCUCAUAAGAGCAGUGGAAACUACAUAGCUAGAGUGCGUUCGGGGCAGAGGGAAUUCCUGGUGUAGCGGUGAAAUGCGUAGAUAUCAGGAAGAACACCGGUGGCGAAAGCGCUCUGCUAGGCCGCAACUGACACUGAGGGACGAAAGCUAGGGGAGCGAAUGGG
rnacentral:rRNA from 1 species